rnacentral:misc_RNA from 1 species
CAAGAGUUGCGAAAAGGCUCCCUAAAACCAUCGUGAACUUAUCCUAACCGUUGCUUCGGCGGGCGGCUCCCUCCGGGGUUCUCCCCGGCGCCCCUGGCCCCAUCAGCGUAGGGGCAGCCCGCCGGAGGUCACGAAACUCUUGAUAUUUAGUGGCCUCUCUGAGUCUUCUGUAACUAAAUAAGUCA